rnacentral:rRNA from 1 species
CUCAUUAAAUCAGUUAUAGUUUAUUUGAUGGUCUUCUUUGUUCUUCUUUUUACCUACUUGGAUAACCGUGGUAAUUCUAGAGCUAAUACAUGCGCAAGGUCCCGAGCGCGGAGGGUAGGGCUUCACGGCUCUACUCUUGCAUGCGUAGAGGGAUGUAUUUAUUAGGUUAAACAACCAGCAUCUUUUCAUUUCUGGUGGUUCAUAGUAACUCUUUCGGAUCGCAUUCAUG